CUCAGGACGAACGCUGGCGGCGUGCCUAAUACAUGCAAGUCGAGCGGAUCUUGUCCUUCGGGACAAGAUUAGCGGCGGACGGGUGAGUAACACGUGGGUAACCUGCCUGUAAGACUGGGAUAACAUUCGGAAACGAAUGCUAAUACCGGAUACGCGGCUUGGUCGCAUGACCGAGCCGGGAAAGAUGGAGCAAUCUAUCACUUANNGAUGGACCCGCGGCGCAUUAGCUAGUUGGUGAGGUAACGGCUCACCAAGGCGACGAUGCGUAGCCGACCUGAGAGGGUGAUCGGCCACACUGGGACUGAGACACGGCCCAGACUCCUACGGGAGGCAGCAGUAGGGAAUCUUCCGCAAUGGACGAAAGUCUGACGGAGCAACGCCGCGUGAGUGAUGAAGGUUUUCGGAUCGUAAAGCUCUGUUGCCAGGGAAGAAUGCUUGGGAGAGUAACUGCUCUCAAGGUGACGGUACCUGAGAAGAAAGCCCCGGCUAACUACGUGCCAGCAGCCGCGGUAAUACGUAGGGGGCAAGCGUUGUCCGGAAUUAUUGGGCGUAAAGCGCGCGCAGGCGGCCUUGUAAGUCUGUUGUUUAAACUUGGGGCUCAACCCCAAGUCGCAAUGGAAACUGCAAAGCUUGAGUACAGAAGAGGAAAGUGGAAUUCCACGUGUAGCGGUGAAAUGCGUAGAGAUGUGGAGGAACACCAGUGGCGAAGGCGACUUUCUGGGCUGUAAC
rnacentral:rRNA from 1 species